GCCCUGAUGUGGGGGAUAACCAUUGGAAACGAUGGCUAAUACCGCAUAAUGCCUACGGGCCAAAGAGGGGGACCUUCGGGCCUCUCGCGUCAGGAUAUGCCUAGGUGGGAUUAGCUAGUUGGUGAGGUAAUGGCUCACCAAGGCGACGAUCCCUAGCUGGUCUGAGAGGAUGAUCAGCCACACUGGAACUGAGACACGGUCCAGACUCCUACGGGAGGCAGCAGUGGGGAAUAUUGCACAAUGGGCGCAAGCCUGAUGCAGCCAUGCCGCGUGUGUGAAGAAGGCCUUCGGGUUGUAAAGCACUUUCAGUCGUGAGGAAGGUGGUGUAGUUAAUAGCUGCAUUACUUGACGUUAGCGACAGAAGAAGCACCGGCUAACUCCGUGCCAGCAGCCGCGGUAAUACGGAGGGUGCGAGCGUUAAUCGGAAUUACUGGGCGUAAAGCGCAUGCAG
rnacentral:rRNA from 1 species